AUUGAACGCUGGCGGCAGGCCUAACACAUGCAAGUCGAACGAGUGGCGGACGGGUGAGUAAUGUCUGGGAAACUGCCUGAUGGAGGGGGAUAACUACUGGAAACGGUAGCUAAUACCGCAUACCAUCGGAUGUGCCCAGAUGGGAUUAGCUAGUAGGUUGGGUAAAGGCUCACCUAGGCGACGAUCCCUAGCUGGUCUGAUAGGAUGACCAGACACACUGGAACUGAGACACGGUACUGACUUCUACGGAAGUAAGAAGUGGGGAAUAGUGGACAAUGGGCGCAAGCCUGAUGAAGCCAUGCCGCGUGUAUGAAGAAGGCCUUCGGGUUGUAAAGUACUUUCAGCGGGGAGGCGUUACCCGCAGAAGAAGCACCGGCUAACUCCGUGCCAGCAGCCGCGGUAAUAC
rnacentral:rRNA from 1 species